CACCUCUCAAUAAGUUAAAAUAUCACUCCGUGGUAUUUUUGUAAACCCAAUCAGACUAAAUCCGUCAAGUUGAUGUGCAUGUUUCGUUCUCACUCUCGCCCAUAGUCUUAAAACUGGUAUUAUGUUGCGCUCGCGCAGGUAGCUAGCUUAUCUUACUACAUCGCAGUCCUUCGUCAU